rnacentral:rRNA from 1 species
GACGAACGCUGGCGGCGUGCCUAAUACAUGCAAGUCGAACGCUGAAGCUUGGUGCUUGCACCGAGCGGAUGAGUUGCGAACGGGUGAGUAACGCGUAGGUAACCUGCCUGGUAGCGGGGGAUAACUAUUGGAAACGAUAGCUAAUACCGCAUAAGAGUAGAUGUUGCAUGACAUUUGCUUAAAAGGUGCAAUUGCAUCACUACCAGAUGGACCUGCGUUGUAUUAGCUAGUUGGUGAGGUAACGGCUCACCAAGGCAACGAUACAUAGCCGACCUGAGAGGGUGAGCGGCCACACUGGGACUGGGACACGGCCCAGACUCCUACGGGAGGCAGCAGUAGGGGAUCUUCGGCAAUGGACGGAAGUCUGACCGAGCAACGCCGCGUGAGUGAAGAAGGUUUUCGGAUCGUAAAGCUCUGUUGUAAGAGAAGAACGAGUGUGAGAGUGGAAAGUUCACACUGUGACGGUAUCUUACCAGAAAGGGACGGCUAACUACGUG